rnacentral:misc_RNA from 1 species
GUGAAACAGAAGACCCUCCCAUGGGCUUCAAAUCCUUCACAUUCAAACACUGUGCAUUGUCUGGAUGAAUGUUGCCCGCCUUGGGCAACUACUAGUCCUCUGUUUUUAGCACCCAAGUCAAUGUAUGUUGGUUGUCAUAACAAAAUA